CCCAUUACCUCAUACGGGGAUGGCCUUGCUGCAUAGGACCUUGCACUGCUGAUGGCCCUGCUCCCUGUUCCAUCACACUGGGACCCUAUGCAAGGGUCCAGCUGUGUAAGAUGACUGCUGCUGCCGUGGAGGACCUACCUCAUCUUGGAAAUUUCUCCUUAGCCAAAGUGAUUUCUGACCCUCCCCAGAAACAACCUGACCCUCACAGAAGACAUCAGAUGUCCACUGCAAAAAAGAAGAUGAUGAUUCCCUUUCAGGACAUGUGUAUUGAGAACACAAGGAGCAGGAGAGUUGGGCAGGGUAGGACAGGAUUCCUCAGGAGCUUCCAAAUGCACUGUGUUUUUCUGAGCAGGACUGGAGUUCACCUCAGAUCUACUCAGCAGUUUCAAGUUUCCAAGGACUUGUGGCACACUGAGGCUAAGAAGCAGAGCAGCUUUAGAACUUGCCCAUUUAUUUGAUGGAUGAAUAAAUGUAGCACUCCACUCUGCAUUCCACUCUGCAUCCUGAACAAAUGCUGCUACCCCAGUAUUUUUCCUAUCCAACCAAAUCUCAAUAGAAGUUUUUGUAUAAUUAAUUAUACAAGCAAGCAGAAUGCAUUGCUUUGCUUUAUUUUUUUAAGGUUCCAGAUUUUCCAACUGUUGACAAAGGAUGUGUUAAUGUCAUCAUUAUGAAGUUCUGUUGUUUACUGUUUUCUUCAGCAAGCAGUAAUUUUAUUGACUUUGGCAGAGACAUUGGUGUUUUGCAUGAUUUCAAUGGAUUUUGUGGCACAGACGCACAAUAUAACCCAAGAUGUUCCAUAAUAAACAGGACUGUUACUACCA